UACGUAGGGGGCAAGCGUUGUCCGGAUUUAUUGGGCGUAAAGAGCUCGUAGGCGGUCUGUCGCGUCGGAUGUGAAAACCCAGGGCUCAACCCUGAGCCUGCAUUCGAUACGGGCAGACUAGAGUUCGGUAGGGGAGACUGGAAUUCCUGGUGUAGCGGUGAAAUGCGCAGAUAUCAGGAGGAACACCGGUGGCGAAGGCGGGUCUCUGGGCCGAAACUGACGCUGAGGAGCGAAAGCGUGGGGAGCAAACAGG
rnacentral:rRNA from 1 species